rnacentral:rRNA from 1 species
AACGACUCUCGGCAACGGAUAUCUCGGCUCUCGCAUCGAUGAAGAACGUAGCGAAAUGCGAUACUUGGUGUGAAUUGCAGAAUCCCGUGAACCAUCGAGUCUUUGAACGCAAGUUGCGCCCGAAGCCUUUGGCUGAGGNNNCGUCUGCCUGGGCG